GACAGAGGAUGCAAGCGUUAUCCGGAAUGAUUGGGCGUAAAGCGUCUGUAGGUGGCUUUUUAAGUCCGCCGUCAAAUCCCAGGGCUCAACCCUGGACAGGCGGUGGAAACUACCAAGCUGGAGUACGGUAGGGGCAGAGGGAAUUUCCGGUGGAGCGGUGAAAUGCGUAGAGAUUGGAAAGAACACCGAUGGCGAAGACACUUUACUGGGCUAUUACUAAACACUCAGAGACGAAAGCUAGGGUAGCAAAUGGG
rnacentral:rRNA from 1 species